rnacentral:rRNA from 1 species
GACGAACGCUGGCGGCGUGCCUAACACAUGCAAGUCGAGCGGGGUUGAAGCGAGAGGUAACUCGAACUUCUACCUAGCGGCGGACGGGUGAGUAACGCGUGGGCAACCUGCCUCAAGGUCUGGGAUAACAGCCCGAAAGGGCUGCUAAUACUGGGUAUGCUUGUGGCCUCGCAUGGGGCUAUGAGCAAAGGGGAAACCCGCCUUGAGAUGGGCCCGCGUCCCAUCAGCUAGUUGGUGAGGUAACAGCUCACCAAGGCGACGACGGGUAGCCGGCCUGAGAGGGUGACCGGCCACAUUGGGACUGAGACACGGCCCAGACUCCUACGGGGGGGCAGCAGUGGGGGAUCUUGCACAAUGGGCGAAAGCCUGAUGCAGCGACGCCGCGUGAGCGAAGAAGGCCUUCGGGUUGUAAAGCUCUGUCUGGAGGGACGAAGGAAGUGACGGUACCUCCGGAGGAAGCCACGGCUAACUACGUG